CCGACUAGUCCCGGGUUCGAGUCCCGGGCAACCCA
rnacentral:tRNA from 1 species